rnacentral:rRNA from 1 species
CGACGGCAGCACAGAGGAGCUUGCUCCUUGGGUGGCGAGUGGCGGACGGGUGAGUAAUGCAUCGGGAUCUACCCUGACGUGGGGGAUAACCUCGGGAAACCGGGACUAAUACCGCAUACGUCCUACGGGAGAAAGCGGGGGACCUUUUAGGCCUCGCGCGGCAGGACGAACCGAUGUGCGAUUAGCUAGUUGGCGGGGUAAUGGCCCACCAAGGCGACGAUCGCUAGCUGGUCUGAGAGGAUGAUCAGCCACACUGGGACUGAGACACGGCCCAGACUCCUACGGGAGGCAGCAGUGGGGAAUAUUGGACAAUGGGCGAAAGCCUGAUCCAGCAAUGCCGCGUGAGUGAUGAAGGCCCUAGGGUUGUAAAGCUCUUUUACCCGGGAUGAUAAUGACAGUACCGGGAGAAUAAGCCCCGGCUAACUCCGUGCCAGCAGCCGCGGUAAUACGGAGGGGGCUAGCGUUGUUCGGAAUUACUGGGCGUAAAGCGCACGUAGGCGGCUUUGCAAGUCAGAGGUGAAAGCCCGGGGCUCAACCCCGGAAUAGCCUUUGAGACUGCAUCGCUAGAAUUGUGGAGAGGUAAGUGGAAUUCCGAGUGUAGAGGUGAAAUUCGUAGAUAUUCGGAAGAACACCAGUGGCGAAGGCGACUUACUGGACACAUAUUGACGCUGAGGUGCGAAAGCGUGGGGAGCAAACA